rnacentral:misc_RNA from 1 species
AACCAUAGAAACCUGCGGAGUACCUGCGGAGGGAUCAUUACCGAGUUAUACAACUCAUCAACCCCUGUGAACUUACCUACAACGUUGCUUCGGCGGGAACAGACGGCCCCGUAAAACGGGCCGCCCCCGCCAGAGGACCCCUAACUCUGUUUUUAUAAUGUUUUUCUGAGUAAACGAGCAAAUAAAUUAAAACUUUCAACAAUGGAUCU